rnacentral:rRNA from 1 species
CCUACGGGAGGCAGCAGUAGGGAAUCUUCCACAAUGGGCGAAAGCCUGAUGGAGCAACGCCGCGUGGGUGAAGAAGGUCUUCGGAUUGUAAAACUCUGUUGUUAGAGAAGAAAGUGCGUGAGAGUAACUGUUCACGUUUCGACGGUAUCUAACCAGAAAGCCACGGCUAACUACGUGCCAGCAGCCGCGGUAAUACGUAGGUGGCAAGCGUUAUCCGGAUUUAUUGGGCGUAAAGGGAACGCAGGCGGUCUUUUAAGUCUGAUGUGAAAGCCUUCGGCUUAACCGGAGUAGUGCAUUGGAAACUGGGAGACUUGAGUGCAGAGGAGGAGAGUGGAACUCGAUGUGUAGCGGUGAAAUGCGUAGAUAUAUGGAAGAACACCAGUGGCGAAAGCGGCUCUCUGGUCUGUAACUGACGCUGAGGUUCGAAAGCGUGGGUAGCAAACAGGAUUAGAUACCCCUGUAGUC